CUUGGCAAGUCUUUUUCAACUUUUUUUUCAAAAACUGCAAACGGAAAAAAUGAACACCUACGAUUUUUCUGGCUUUCAAUCCAAUACAAGCACUAUUAUUAUUGCUGUAUACUUUGUUUUGUUUGUGCUGGUUGUACUGUAUUGCUUUGUGGCGCGGAGAAAUCAAGCAUGGAUGGAGUUUAGUGGAAAAAGAGUGCUGCUGAUAACCGCCCAUCCAGAUGACGAGUGCAUGUUUUUUGGACCUGUUAUUUAUCAUGCUUGCAAAGAGUCUUCUUCCUUCUCGCUUCUUUGUUUGACCAAAGGUAA